CGCUCUCCUACGCAAUUCAGCUGCUAGUAACAAACUUUGGUUAAUAGCUCUUAAUGAUUCAGAUUAUUUCUAUGACAUAUCCUACCUUAUCCGUGUCGGCACUUUCGCUAUACAAUCUAAAGAAUGCUUAUGUGGCACAUAUGCCUAUGACAGCGACUACUUAGCUCCCUCAUUGAUCUAUUGGAUGUUACAACCUUUGUAAGUGUUUGGAAUGAUGAUGAUGAUGCACUGAUUAGUUUUCUACUUGGAGGAGUGCCAAAUGACAACAUUAGAGAUCUUGAUACUGAUCUAUGGAUUCAAUGUAUGAAAAUCACGAGUAAAGCUGUUCAUGAAUGGAAA